rnacentral:tRNA from 1 species
GGAUCCUUAGCUCAGUUGGUAGAGCAACGGACUCUUAAUCCGUGGGUCCAGGGUUCGAGCCCCUGAGGGUCCA